UGGGGAAUAUUGCACAAUGGGCGCAAGCCUGAUGCAGCCAUGCCGCGUGUGUGAAGAAGGCCUUCGGGUUGUAAAGCACUUUCAGCGAGGAGGAAGGUGGUGGACUUAAUACGUUCAUCAAUUGACGUUACUCGCAGAAGAAGCACCGGCUAACUCCGUGCCAGCAGCCGCGGUAAUACGGAGGGUGCAAGCGUUAAUCGGAAUUACUGGGCGUAAAGCGCACGCAGGCGGUUUGUUAAGUCAGAUGUGAAAUCCCCGGGCUCAACCUGGGAACUGCAUUUGAAACUGGCAAGCUAGAGUCUCGUAGAGGGGGGUAGAAUUCCAGGUGUAGCGGUGAAAUGCGUAGAGAUCUGGAGGAAUACCGGUGGCGAAGGCGGCCCCCCUGGACGAAGACUGACGCUCAGGUGCGAAAGCGUGGGGCAGCAAACAGGAUUAGAUACCCUGGUAGUCCACGCUGUAAACGAUGUCGAUUUGGAGGUUGUGCCCUUGAGGCGUGGCUUCCGGAGCUAACGCGUUAAAUCGACCGCC
rnacentral:rRNA from 1 species